GACGAACCGCGCGAACGUUGAUCGGAAUCACUGGGCUUAAAGGGCGCGUAGGCGGGCUGUCAAGUCUGGGGUGAAAUCCCACGGCUCAACCGUGGAACUGCCUCAGAUACUGACGGCCUCGAGGGAGGUAGGGGCGAGCGGAACGGGUGGUGGAGCGGUGAAAUGCGUUGAUAUCACUCGGAACUCCGGUGGCGAAAGCGGCUCGCUGGACCUUUUCUGACGCUGAGGCGCGAAAGCUAGGGGAUCAAACGGG
rnacentral:rRNA from 1 species